UGAGGAAUAUUGGUCAAUGGACGAGAGUCUGAACCAGCCAAGUCGCGUGAAGGAAGAAUGUCCUAUGGAUUGUAAACUUCUUUUGCAGGGGAAUAAAGUGCGGCAUGCGUGCUGUAUUGCAAGUACUCUGCGAAUAAGGAUCGGCUAACUCCGUGCCAGCAGCCGCGGUAAUACGGAGGAUCCGAGCGUUAUCCGGAUUUAUUGGGUUUAAAGGGUGCGUAGGUGGAUGGAUAAGUCAGCGGUGAAAUUUUUGAGCUUAACUGAAGAAUUGCCGUUGAAACUGUUUAUCUUGAGUGCAAAUGAGGUAUGCGGAAUGUGUUGUGUAGCGGUGAAAUGCAUAGAUAUAACACAGAACACCGAUUGCGAAGGCAGCGUACUGGGAUGCAACUGACACUGAGGCACGAAGGCGUGGGGAUCAAACAGGAUUAGAUACCCUGGUAGUCCACGCAGUAAACGAUGAAUACUAGCUGUUUGCGAUAUACAGUAAGCGGUACAGCGAAAGCGUUAAGUAUUCCACCUGGGGAGUACGACCGCAAGGUUGAAAACUCAAAAUGAAUUGACGGGGGUCAUAGCUGUUUCCUG
rnacentral:rRNA from 1 species